UCCCCAGUAGCUCAGUCGGUAGAGCAAGUGGCUGUUAACCACUGGGUCCGCGGUUCGAGUCCGUGCUGGGGAGCCA
rnacentral:tRNA from 2 species